rnacentral:rRNA from 1 species
UACGGAAGGCAGCAGUGGGGAAUAUUGCACAAUGGGCGAAAGCCUGAUGCAGCUAUGCCGCGUGUAUGAAGAAGGCCUUAGGGUUGUAAAGUACUUUCAUCGGGGAGGAAAAAACAAAACUAAUAAUUUUAUUUCUUGACGUUACCCGAAAAAGAAGCACCGGCUAACUCCGUGCCAGCAGCCGCGGUAAUACGGAGGGUGCUAGCGUUAAUCAGAAUUACUGGGCGUAAAGAGCACGUAGGUGGUUUUUUAAGUCAGAUGUGAAAUCCCUGGGCUUAACCUGGAACUGCAUUUUGAAACUGAAAUACUAGAGUAUCGUAGAGGGAGGUAGAAUUCUAGGUGUAGCGGUGAAAUGCGUAGAUAUCUGGAGGAAUACCUGUGGCGAAAGCGGCCUCUAAACGAAUACUGACACUGAGGUGCGAAAAGCGUGGGGAGCGAAAACAGGGAUUAGAUACC